UACGUAGGGUGCAAGCGUUUAAUCGGAAUUACUGGGCGUAAAGCGUGCGCAGGCGGUUAUGUAAGACAGAUGUGAAAUGCCCGGGCUUAACCUGGGAACUGCAUUUGUGACUGCAUGGCUAGAGUUUGGCAGAGGGGGGUAGAAUUCCACGUGUAGCAGUGAAAUGCGUAGAUAUGUGGAGGAACACCGAUGGCGAAGGCAGCCCCCUGGGUCAAGACUGACGCUCAUGCACGAAAGCGUGGGGAGCAACAGG
rnacentral:rRNA from 1 species